UACGUAGGGUGCGAGCGUUAAUCGGAAUUACUGGGCGUAAAGCGUGCGCAGGCGGCUUUGCAAGACAGAUGUGAAAUCCCCGGGCUUAACCUGGGAACUGCAUUUGUGACUGCAUGGCUGGAGUGCGGCAGAGGGGGAUGGAAUUCCGCGUGUAGCAGUGAAAUGCGUAGAUAUGCGGAGGAACACCGAUGGCGAAGGCGGCGAUCUGGGAAGAUACUGACGCUGAGGUGCGAAAGCGUGGGGAGCAAACAGG
rnacentral:rRNA from 1 species